rnacentral:RNase_P_RNA from 1 species
UGAGUAAGUCAGAUGAUCGCGGGUACAAGCGCCGAAAGGCCGUACCUGAGGAAAGUCGGAGCUCCACAGGGCAGAGUGCUGGGUAACACCCAGUGGGGGCGACCCCAAGGAAAGUGCCACAGAAACAAACCGCCGGUCGCCAGACCGGUAAGGGUGGAACGGUGAGGUAAGAGCUCACCAGCAGUUGGGUGACCAACUGGCUAGGUAAACCCCACUUGGAGCAAGACCGAAUAGGAGGGCAAUGAAGUGGCCCGCUUCGCCCUCGGGUAAGGUCGCUGGAGGUGUCAGGCAACUGACAUCCUAGAUAGAUGAUCAUCACCUCGUCAAGAGGGACAGAACUCCGCUUACCGAUUUACUCGUCAC